AAUGAACGCUGGCGGCAGGCCUAACACAUGCAAGUCGAACGGAUCCUUCGGGAUUAGUGGCGGACGGGUGAGUAACGCGUGGGAACAUACCCAAAGGUACGGAAUAGCCUCGGGAAACUGGGAGUAAUACCGUAUGUGCUCGAAAGAGGAAAGAUUUAUCGCCUUUGGAUUGGCCCGCGUUGGAUUAGGUAGUUGGUGGGGUAAUGGCCUACCAAGCCGACGAUCCAUAGCUGGUUUGAGAGGAUGAUCAGCCACACUGGGACUGAGACACGGGCCAGACUCCUACGGGAGGCAGAAGUGGGGGAUAGUAAACAAUGGGGGAAACCCUGAUCUAGCCAUGCCGCGUGAUCGAUGAAGGCCUUAGGGUUGUAAAGAUCUUUCAGGUGGGAAGAUAAUGACGGUACCACCAGAAGAAGCCCCGGCUAACUCCGUGCCAGCCGCCGCCGUAA
rnacentral:rRNA from 1 species